rnacentral:lncRNA from 1 species
GGUUUCCCACCUCAAAUUUCAACUCCCACAUUCGGUUGUUAGCAUAACUCUUCUAUCUACUCUGUGCUGUCUGUAGGUUUUUCUUAAUUAUUGAAAUCUUUGCUAUAGUCAUCUCUACCAAAUUAGGACCAAACAUCUUCCUUUCUCCUAUUUCCUCCCAACAUAUUAGUGACCUACAAGGGCUACCAUAAAGUGCCUCGUAUGGUGCCAUGCCAAUAUUAGCUUGAUAGCUAUUAUUA